UACGAAGGGAGCUAGCGUUGUUCGGAAUCACUGGGCGUAAAGCGCACGUAGGCGGACUUGUCAGUCAGGGGUGAAAUCCCGGGGCUCAACCUCGGAACUGCCUCUGAUACAGCAAGUCUUGAGUCCGGGAGAGGUGGGUGGAAUUCCUAGUGUAGAGGUGAAAUUCGUAGAUAUUAGGAAGAACACCGGUGGCGAAGGCGGCCCACUGGUCCGGUACUGACGCUGAGGUGCGAAAGCGUGGGGAGCAAACAGG
rnacentral:rRNA from 1 species